CCUANGGGUGGCUGCAGUGGGGAAUAUUGGACAAUGGGCGCAAGCCUGAUCCAGCCAUGCCGCGUGAGUGACGAAGGUCUUCGGAUUGUAAAGCUCUUUUGCCAGGGACGAUAAUGACGGUACCUGGAGAAUAAGCCCCGGCUAACUUCGUGCCAGCAGCCGCGGUAAUACGAAGGGGGCUAGCGUUGUUCGGAAUUACUGGGCGUAAAGCGCGCGUAGGCGGAUUUGUAAGUUAGGGGUGAAAUCCCGGGGCUCAACCUCGGAACUGCCUUUGAUACUGCAAGUCUAGAGUCCGGAAGAGGUGAGUGGAAUUCCUAGUGUAGAGGUGAAAUUCGUAGAUAUUAGGAAGAACACCAGUGGCGAAGGCGGCUCACUGGUCCGGUACUGACGCUGAGGUGCGAAAGCGUGGGGAGCAAACAGGAUUAGAUACCCCUNUANUC
rnacentral:rRNA from 1 species